UACGUAGGGGGCAAGCGUUGUCCGGAGUUACUGGGCGUAAAGCGCCCGCAGGCGGUUUGUCAAGUGUGAGGUGACAGCGCGCGGCUUAACUACGCGAGCGCCUCGCAGACUGAGAGACUGGAGGGCCAGAGAGGGACAUGGAACUCCGGGUGGAGUGGUGAAAUGCGUAGAGAUCCGGAAGAACACCAAAGGCGCAGGCAGUGUCCUGGCUGGUACCUGACGCUCAGGGGCGAAAGCGAGGGGAG
rnacentral:rRNA from 1 species